rnacentral:rRNA from 1 species
UUUCAUGAGAGUUUGAUCCUGGCUCAGGACGAACGCUGGCGGCGUGCCUAAUACAUGCAAGUCGAGCGAACCGACGAAGUGCUUGCACUUCUGACGUUAGCGGCGGACGGGUGAGUAACACGUAAGGAACCUACCGAUAAGCGGGGGACAACAUCCGGAAACGGGUGCUAAUACCGCAUAGGAAAGGCCGCCACAUGGUGGCCUUUGGAAAGACGGCUUUGCUGUCACUUAUCGAUGGCCUUGCGGUGCAUUAGCUCGUUGGUGGGGUAACGGCCUACCAAGGCAAUGAUGCAUAGCCGACCUGAGAGGGUAAUCGGCCACAUUGGGACU